AGAGAUUGCAGAGGGGGAGGGGAGCACGGGAUGGGCGUGGGGGGAGAGCAGGCCUGCAGGUGCUGUGCCAGGCGAGAGACCUGGUAAUUAUGGGAUUUCUGAGUGCUGAGCAAGCAGGGCGCUGGGCCCUUCCUUGUGUGAUGGGAACCCACCGACAUCCCCUCACUGAAUCCUCUCCUGCGCCCAAGGAGGCGGGGACCACGGCCCGGUUCCACAUCAGGAACCGAAGCGCGCAGGGCGGCCUGCCUUUGCCGGAGGCCACACGGACCAGGAAACUAAUACAGAGGGAAACCAGCACAAGGAGGACUCAGAUCAGCUGGAGAAGAUGCUGGGGACCGGUUUAGUCCACUGCGGCUGCCAUACCAGAACACCACACGGGGGCUGAAACAACAGACAGGCACUGCCUCUCAGUCUGGAGUCUGGGAGUCCGAGAUCAAGGUGUCAGCACAGCUGGUCUCCUCGGAGGCCUCUCUCCUUGCUGUGCAGACGGGCACCCUCUUCACGUGGCCAUCCCUCUGGGCACACGCACUCCUGGCUUCUCCCUGUGUCCUAAUCUUUUCUUAUAGGGACACCAGCCAGAUUAUGGGCCUCAUUUUAACGAAUCACCUCUGUAAAGACCCUGUUUCCAAAUAGUCAUAUUCUGAGGUGCUGGGGGAGGGGUUAGGGCUUCAACACGGGAAUUCGGGGGCACGUAACAGGGAGCCUCCAAGCCUGCCUCAUUCCCACAAGGCCCUCACUUUUCUGGCAGCUUCCAGACCUCCCUAGGGCCCAGCGUGAGCCCAGGCAGCCUCAGCCUGUAGAACCAGUUGGAGCUACCAGGAGAACCGGUCGGGGCAGUCCAGGGGGUGUGGGUUUGCAGAAGGGACCGGAGUUCCCUGAGGACUGGUGGUCAGGACAGGACCCAGGCACCAGGCACGGAGGAACUCAGUCUCUCCCAGGCCAGACCCCAGAGCCACUCUCCCAGUCCUAACAAGGGCCGCUGAAGGCACCAGGGAACAAGCAGCAGUGGCUGGUGGCAGGCAGCGGGGUCGGGAGUUAGACGUGCUCUGGUGACUUGCUCUUUGCAGGGACAUUGACACGGAAGGGGCAGAAGAGGCAGCAAAGCAUGCAACACGCAGCCCCCAAUGCAGCCCAGGACUAAGAGAGGAGAGGUCUCCUGAUUCCUCCCUCUCUCGACACCACCCAGGCCCCUAACCACUCAGGGCCCCAGAGCCUCAGGCAGCAGGAGUGACAGACUGCCUUCCAGACUCUCUCCUCGCUGACCUGUAGCCUCCAGCCUCCACUGGGCUCCCCUCCCCCCUCCUCCAGGCCGGGGUGGACUCGCUCACACCCACAAACUGCAAAGGCGCAGGGCGGGUUUCAGACAGAAGACAGCCCAUGCCAAGUACACGAAUGGAGAAGAUUCAAUACAUAUAGUUACAUAAGGUAUAAAAUUGCUACACUGGUGACUCAAAAGGUAAAAAGAGGCUGAGGCAGCAAAGGGAACAGCUGGGAUUGUUAAAACGCGGAAACGUGGGCCUUGGACCCCAACCUCGGAGGGAGGGGUUCUGACAGGUGCUGGCAUGUCUGAGGUGCCAUGAAGUUGUUUUUACAAGCGUUGGAAAAGCCACAAAGGGAUUCAGCUCCCCACCCCAACCCUCUGCCUCUGGGACACUGAGUGUUUCUACAGCUUCUUCAUAAAAACACAACUCACAUCCACGCGGAGAGAAUCACAUCCUUCCCGAACUCUUUCCUCCUGCAUCACCACCGGCCUGUCUCAGCCAAGGGUGAAAAGUCUUGGAAUCUAAUAGGGUGGCCGUUGAACCCAACCCUGACCCUUUUUCUCUCUUGCUACUUCAGCUGGUGUGAUGGUUGAUUUUAGGUGUCAACCUCAUGGGGCUGACUGAUGCCCAGGUAGCUGGUAAAAUAUGAUUUCUGCCUGUGGCUACGAGGGCGCUUCUAGAAGAGAUUCACAUUUGAAUCAGUGGGUGAGGAAAGCUGAUCCCCCUCCCCAAGGUGAUGGACCACGUUCAAUUCUUUGAGGACCCACGUGGAACCAAAGGUGGAGGAAGGGGAAUUCACUCUCUCUGUUGAGCGGGGACGUCCAGCUUCUCCUGCCCUCAGACGUUGGUGCUUGUGGUUCUCAGGCCUUCGGACUUGGACUGAAUCACACCCCAGCUCUCCUGGGCCUCUCAGAUGGUGGGACUUCUGACUUCUCAGCCUCCAUAAUCACGGAGAAAACCAAACCAUAAAAGCAUCAGUCAUCCCCUGAUGAAGAAAUGAUGGUCCAGCUCAUGAAGACCAGGCAAUCGGGGCUGAAUAAUCAUCAGAGCUUCCAAACCACCAGGGGUCUGAGGUCUCUACAGACCUAUGCUUCCAGGAGCUUUGAAUUUAUCAGGACUGGCAAGAAGCAUCGAGUCCAGCACCACACGUUGUCUUGUGCAGACUCUACUUGAACACUUCUGGUGAUGAGGAGCUCUCCAGCUUGCGUUGGAAGAAGGUCCUGAUAAUCAGGAAGUCCUCCCUCACAGGGAGCCCAGACACUCUUCCCAGGUUGUGCACACCCCCUGGGGCAUCUGCUGGGCCCCACACGUAUAGGAGCUCCCCACGCAGUACGCUGACACCUCACGAGAUAAAAAAUGCCCAUCUCACAUCAAAGAAACUUCUCUGCAUUAUGAGUCACCCGGCAUCUUUCAGGCUGGACAUUUUCUCCCCUAAUAACCAGACCUUCCCUGAGCUCAGCCAGGCCAAGUGUUUCAUCUCCAUGCAUGUCCUGUUUGAGCACCAGGGGAAGUCGUGGGUACAUCUGAUCUUAGAGCUGGGAGCAAACAAUACAUCAAAGGCAGCUCCUUUUGAAAGUAGCGACUGCCCUGUUACAAUCCAGCAACAAAUUCCACCUGGCAUUCCAGGAGGAAAUCCCAACUGACCUCUCCCUCCCCGAGACCCUCCGGAGCUUAACUCACUGCCCGCACCGUCCAUCAGACACUUCUCACUGCCCGCACCGUCCAUCAGACACUUCAUCACGUGCUCUUUCCAGGCGUCUUUUCUCCUGGAGAGGAGAGUCUGAGUAGACAGAGCGUUUCUCCUUCCCCAGCCCCACAUUCUGAUCACAAGCUAAGUGCGGGGUCGCAGAGAACUCACUAAGUUCUCUGGCUGAGGGGUCACACCCCAGAGACCCUCGUGGUGCCACUGCUGCACCACAGCACUGGGGGGCGUGGGCCUGGAAGAAGACUGAACUCAGCACCUGCCUGGGGUGGGGGGGUCUCCCCGCAGGACAAGGGGAGCCAGCUAGCACGUUCGGAUGGCACGUCUGCAUCGUGGCGUGGGAGGGUGGCACGAGCCUUCCCAUAAGCUGAGCGGACGCGGCAGAAGGGACAGGCUAACCCAGAAGGAAGGCAGCUCCUGGGGUGCAGGGGUGCACAGCCGGAGCAGAGCUAAGGGGAGGAGACAGGAGCCCAGCUAGCGAGGGUGUUCCCCACGUCGGGGAAAGCUGCUGUGCUCGGGACUCACCCCUGGAGAAGGCCAGCAACGGUGCCUGGCAUGAAGAGACCACUCUGGACCACAGCACCACUGCCCCCUGCAUCCCUCCUCUCAUCCCGACCCCGAGGAGCCCGGCGCCGAGGCAGGAGGCUCCAGCCCGAACCUGGGAGGGCAGUGGCCAAGGCUGGACAGGGCUGGACCUCGCUCCUACACUUCUGGGCACACAUGCCCCAACGCUGACAGGAGCCCCGGGCCCCCUCCUGGCGUGGGGAAGGACACUGUGCCCUCCAGCUGCCUACUUCAGAAGAGGGGUCCUGGGCAGAAACGAGGGGCAAGGCGACGGUCUCCAUCUGGACACAGGAAGGAGGCACCAUCCUAACCAUCCAUCAACAACACCACCUGUUAGGGAAGGUUUCCCCUGGGCUCCUCCCAGGGGACUUGAAACUCGUUGUGUGUGGUAUUGAUCUCACCUUUGAUUCCCAAAUGCCCUGGAAUGUCUGGCACAAAGAAAGUGCUUCCAAGAUAUUUACUGGAUUGAGUUUAACAAGGAGCCCAGUGUCUGGGGACAGCUCUGGUGUUUUCAGCAUCACAGAAUCAGCCAGCUGUCUGGUUCUAUCGCCCUUUACAAGUGAGAAGGGCAUCCUGCCCGAAAUCACUGUCUUGGAGGCGGGAGAGACUUUGGAGGAAGGAAGUGCAGUUCCAAGUCAAGAUUGUUACAUACUUCAGUGUAUUGGGGCCCAGAUAAAUCAAAGAUGAUACAAUCUGAAAUCUCUCCCAAGCGUCCUUAUAUGGGAGAUUCGUCCUACAGCCAUAACUCAGUACAUAGAUGCACUUUUUUUGGUAAGUGCACGAAAUUUUUUUAUGGGUCUUCCCCUCCACAGAGGAUGCCUCAGCAAAGUGCUUAAUAAAUUGAGAGUACCAUGUCAGCAAAUAUUUUGGAGUGUAGACCCUUGGUGCAGUUUUGCACUGACCAUUGCCAUGGGUGAACUUCUGAUCUUUGAUCAAGUGGGCCUUUUUUUUUUUUUUUUUUUAACUCUUCCCCAAGAUCCGCAAUACCUCUGGGUAACCUGGACCAUAUAAAUAUUUAACCAAGUUGUUCCACGUGGGAUUUUCAAGUAUGAAUGAUGCAAUUUCCCUCGUAAGAAAAAUCUGUGUUCCCCUGAUUUGCAGUCACAACCCACCAUGCCUGCAGACUGCCCCCCCCCCCACCCCGCACACUGCCUUUUUCUUACCACACACACACUGUCUGGAGAGAGAGCCAAGGGACCUCCGGGGAGGAAACUGCGAAGAAACGGAAUGUCUAAAUAAAGUCAAGUCUUCUCAGAGCACCUCGCGUUCAUUAUUCAAAGAACAUUUCACACAUACCCUCUCGCUCUGUACA